GAUGAACGCUGGCGGCGUGCCUAAUACAUGCAAGUCGAGCGAACAGACGAGGAGCUUGCUCCUCUGACGUUAGCGGCGGACGGGUGAGUAACACGUGGAUAACCUACCUAUAAGACUGGGAUAACUUCGGGAAACCGGAGCUAAUACCGGAUAAUAUAUUGAACCGCAUGGUUCAAUAGUGAAAGACGGUUUUGCUGUCACUUAUAGAUGGAUCCGCGCCGCAUUAGCUAGUUGGUAAGGUAACGGCUUACCAAGGCAACGAUGCGUAGCCGACCUGAGAGGGGGAUCGGCCACACGGGAACUGAGACACGGUCCAGACUCCUACGGGAGGCAGCAGUAGGGAAUCUUCCGCAAUGGGCGAAAGCCUGACGGAGCAAGGCGGCGUGAGUGAUGAAGGUCUUCGGAUCGUAAAACUCUGUUAUUAGGGAAGAGCAAAUGUGUAAGUAACUAUGCACGUCUUGACGGUACCUAAUCAGAAAGCCACGGCUAACUACGUG
rnacentral:rRNA from 1 species